rnacentral:misc_RNA from 1 species
AAGCUAAUCCAAAAGAAGGAAUUUUUAACUCUGAUAAGCUCAUCUCCCACCAGAUAGCUCAAUAGCAAGCUGGUUAUAUGAUGAAUCAUCUCCCCACUCAAAUCUUCUCUGCAAUCUUUCAUAUUCUUGCCUGCGUGUAUCCUCAACAUGCUGCCAUUCUUCCCAUCUCUCGGCCAGACCCUCUCCUUCCAGCAUCCGUACAACCUCUGACAUUGCUGGACGGUCUUCCGGUGAUGCUUGGGUACAAAGUAAUGCAACUUGGAUCAUCAUUUCCACUUCCUGGAUAUUGUAAUGUUCAUUAAGGUUGCAAUCUACGAUAUCAUCCAGUCUUUUCUCCCCCCCCUCCCGACCUUCUUGACAUGGUCAAGAAAUAAGACAUCAUCCUCCUCUCCCAGCCGUGAAAAGUCAAUUGCUCGUUGACCUGUUACAAGCUCUAGAAGCAU